AGAGUUUGAUCCUGGCUCAGGACGAACGCUGGCGGCGUGCUUAACACAUGCAAGUCGAACGGUAAGGCCCUUCGGGGUACACGAGUGGCGAACGGGUGAGUAACACGUGGGUAAUCUGCCCUGCACAUCGGGAUAAGCCUGGGAAACUGGGUCUAAUACCGAAUAGGACCACAGGACACAUGUCCUGUGGUGGAAAGCUUUUGCGGUGUGGGAUGGGCCCGCGGCCUAUCAGCUUGUUGGUGGGGUGAUGGCCUACCAAGGCGACGACGGGUAGCCGGCCUGAGAGGGUGACCGGCCACACUGGGACUGAGAUACGGCCCAGACUCCUACGGGAGGCAGCAGUGGGGAAUAUUGCACAAUGGGCGCAAGCCUGAUGCAGCGACGCCGCGUGAGGGAUGACGGCCUUCGGGUUGUAAACCUCUUUCAGUGCCGACGAAGCGCAAGUGACGGUAGGCAUAGAAGAAGGACCGGCCAACUACGUGCCAGCAGCCGCGGUAAUACGUAGGGUCCGAGCGUUGUCCGGAAUUACUGGGCGUAAAGAGCUCGUAGGUGGUUUGUCGCGUUGUUCGUGAAAACUCACAGCUCAACUGUGGGCGUGCGGGCGAUACGGGCAGACUUGAGUACUGCAGGGGAGACUGGAAUUCCUGGUGUAGCGGUGAAAUGCGUAGA
rnacentral:rRNA from 1 species